rnacentral:rRNA from 1 species
UACGGAGGGUGCAAGCGUUAUCCGGAUUUACUGGGCUUAAAGGGUGCGUAGGUGGGUAGGUAAGUCAGUGGUGAAAUCUCCGAGCUUAACUCGGAGACUGCCUUUGAUACUAUCUAUCUUGAAUAUCCUGGAGGUGAGCGGAAUAUGUCAUGUAGCGGUGAAAUGCUUAGAUAUGACAUAGAACACCAAUUGCGAAGGCAGCUCACUACGGGGUCAUUGACACUGAGGCACGAAAGCGUGGGGAUCAAACAGG